GAUGAACGCUAGCGGCGGGCUUAAUACAUGCAAGUCAAGGGGUAGUAAUACACCGGCGUACGGGUGCGUAACGCGUAUGGAACCUGCCCUUAUCUGGGGGAUAACUCGGGGAAACUCGAGCUAAUACCGCAUAAGAUAGUAGAGAGGCAUCUCUUAGCUAUUAAAGAUUUAUCGGAUAAGGAUGGCCAUGCGUAAGAUUAGAUAGUUGGCGAGGUAACGGCUCACCAAGUCUACGAUCUUUAGGGGCUCUGAGAGGAGAAUCCCCCACACUGGCACUGAGAUACGGGCCAGACUCCUACGGGAGGCAGCAGUAGGGAAUAUUGGGCAAUGGGCGGAAGCCUGACCCAGCCACGCCGCGUGCAGGAAGACGGCCCUCUGGGUUGUAAACUGCUUUUAACUGGGAAGAAAGCAGCUCAUGCGUGAGAAUUUGACGGUACCAGUUGAGUAAGCCACGGCUAACUACGUGCCAGCAGCCGCAGUAAAAC
rnacentral:rRNA from 1 species